GUGCUCACUUUGGCAGCACAUUCACAAAAAUUAGAACAGUAGAGAGAAGCUUGGCAUGGCCCCUGUGCAAGAAUAUCAUAUGAAUUUAUGAAGUAAUCCAUAUUGUU